ensembl:snRNA U2 U2 spliceosomal RNA
AUCGCUUCUCGGCCUUUUGGCUAAGAUCAAGUGUAGUAAAAUUACUCAUUACCAAAUUGCUUAUUUGUAAUGUCUUCAUCCCCU